UACGGGGGGGGCAAGCGUUGUUCGGAAUUACUGGGCGUAAAGGGCUCGUAGGCGGCCAACUAAGUCGGACGUGAAAUCCCUCGGCUUAACCGGGGAACUGCGUCCGAUACUGGAUGGCUGGAGGUUGGGAGAGGGAUGCGGAAUUCCAGGUGUAGCGGUGAAAUGCGUAGAUAUCUGGAGGAACACCGGUGGCGAAGGCGGCAUCCUGGACCAACACUGACACUGAGGAGCGAAAGCCAGGGGAGCAAACGGG
rnacentral:rRNA from 1 species